CCUACGGGAGGCAGCAGUGGGGAAUAUUGCACAAUGGGGGGAACCCUGAUGCAGCGACGCCGCGUGAGUGAAGAAGUAUCUCGGUACGUAACGCUCUAUCAGCCGGGAAGAAAAUGACGGUACCUGACUCAGAAGCCCCGGCUAACUACGUGCCAGCAUCCGCGGUAAUACGUAGGGGGCAAGCGUUAUCCGGAUUUACUGGGUGAAAAGGGGGCGUAGACGGCACUGCAAGUCCGGAGUGAAAGCCCAAGGCUUAACCAUGGGACUGCUCUGGAAACUGUGGAGCUUGAGUGCGGGAGGGGCAGGCGGAAUUCCUAGUGUAGCGGUGAAAUGCGUAGAGAUUAGGAGGAACACCGGCGGCGAAGGCGGCCUGCUGGACCGUAACUGACGUUGAGGCUCGAAAGCGUGGGGAGCAAACAGGAUUAGAUACCCCUGUAGUC
rnacentral:rRNA from 1 species